rnacentral:rRNA from 1 species
UACGUAGGGUCCGAGCGUUGUCCGGAUUUAUUGGGCGUAAAGAGCUCGUAGGCGGCUCAGUAAGUCGGAUGUGAAAACUCGGGGCUCAACCCCGAGACGCCAUCCGAUACUGCUGUGGCUUGAGUCUGGUAGGGGAACACGGAAUACCUGGUGUAGCGGUGAAAUGCGCAGAUAUCAGGUGGAACACCGAUGGCGAAGGCAGUGUUCUGGGCCAGUACUGACGCUGAGGAGCGAAAGCGUGGGGAGCAAACAGG